rnacentral:lncRNA from 1 species
AGAGAGAGAGAGAGAGAGAGAGAGAGAGAGAGAAGAGGAAGGUGCUUGUGGUGGUGGGGGACUAGAAACUUGAUGAGUUGAUAAUAGAGGAGUGUGUUAAGUGGGGGGGAGAGAUAGAUGGUGGCGGGCUUGAUUGAGUGGGUUAAGCACUAAUGCUGAGAUUUGUGGACCCUUCUGGUGAAUCAUUGCCAAGGCAACAUGACUUGUCCCAUCAAGAAAAAGCACAGAAGAAUAGGGUCCCAUCUCUUGCAGCGUCUGGUUUUUCUUCCCUACCUUUGAUUGGGGGGCCCCUUUUUUUCUUUUCUUUUUC